CUGAGUGCUCUCAUUCAUGUGUGGAAUACACGAGUAAUCUCAUGGAAACACUGUCAGAAUCUGGACUGUGCAGUGUGCUCAGGAGUUGCUAUGCAGUGUGGCCAAGGACUGCACGGUGCCUGGUGGCUUAGCUGACCCUGGCCUGGAAGAACCCAGUGGCCCCUGGAAUGGACUAAGAUGAAGCUUUCUGUUUCUGACUGCACUUGAGUGGCCAAGAAUCCAAGAUGAUGAAUUAAUUAGUGUUAUUGACUU